rnacentral:rRNA from 1 species
AGUGAACGCUGGCGGUAGGCCUAACACAUGCAAGUCGAACGGCAGCACAGUAAGAGCUUGCUCUUACGGGUGGCGAGUGGCGGACGGGUGAGGAAUACAGCGGAAUCUACUUUUUCGUGGGGGAUAACGUAGGGAAACUUACGCUAAUACCGCAUACGACCUACGGGUGAAAGCAGGUGAUCUUCGGACCUUGCGCGAUUGAAUGAGCCGAUGUCGGAUUAGCUAGUUGGCGGGGUAAAGGCCCACCAAGGCGACGAUCCGUAGCUGGUCUGAGAGGAUGAUCAGCCACACUGGAACUGAGACACGUCCCAGACUCUGACGGGAGGCAGCAGUGGGGAAUAUUGGACAAGGGGGGCAAGCCUGAUCCAGCCAUACCGCGUGGGUGAAGAAGGCCUUCGGGUUGUAAAGCCCUUUUGUUGGGAAAGAAAAGCAGCAGGUUAACACCCCGCUGUUCUGACGGUACCCAAAGAAUAAGCACCGGCUAACUUCGUG